GACGAACGCUGGCGGUGUGCUUAACACAUGCAAGUCGUGCGACGAACCAGACUUCGGUCUGGGGCAAAGCGGCGAACGGGUGAGUAACACGUGGGUAAUCUGCCCCGAUGACUGGGACAACCCGAGGAAACUCGGGCUAAUACCGGAUGUGGUGCCUGGACUCAAGUCCGGUCACUAAAGGUAGCUUCGGCUUCCGCAUUGGGAGGGGCCCGCGGCCCAUUAGCUUGUUGGUGGGGUCAAGGCCUACCAAGGCAACGAUGGGUAGCUGGUCUGAGAGGACGAUCAGCCACACUGGGACUGAGACACGGCCCAGACUCCUACGGGAGGCAGCAGUGGGGAAUCUUGCGCAAUGCGCGAAAGCGUGACGCAGCAACACCGCGUGAGGGAAGACGGCCUUAGGGUUGUAAACCUCUUUCAGAUGGGACGAAGGUGAUGCGGUGAAUAGCCGAUGUCAUUGACGGUACCGUCAGAAGAAGCUCCGGCUAACUACGUGCCAGCAGCCGC
rnacentral:rRNA from 1 species